rnacentral:rRNA from 1 species
AAUAAAUACAAUAAAACUUAUUAUUUAGAGUUAAAAAUGAUUAAUUAAUUUAUAGUUAAAUUUAUUAGGUAAAAAUUUUAAAUUUAAAAAAAUUAUUAAAUCGUAGGGGUUUUUAAGCUUGAAAAAAUUUUUUUAUAAACUAGGAUUAGAUACCCUACUAUAGAGAAAUGUAAAUUAUAGGGAUAGAGUAGUAAUAGUUAUAUUCUUAAAACUUAAUAAAUUUGGCGGUAUUUUAAUCUAUUCAGAGGAACUUGUUUUAUAAUUGAUAAUCCUCAUUAUAUCUUACUUAGCUUAAUAGUUUGUAUAUCGUCGUCAUAAGAAUCUCUUUAGAAAGAAAAAAUUUUCUUAAUAAUUUAUUAAUUAAUAUGUCAGAUCAAGGUGCAGCUUAUAGUUAAGAAAAAAUGAGUUACAAUAAAAAUAUUUAAACGGAAUAAAAUUUCAAAGGUUUUAUGAAGGUGGAUUUGAUAGUAAAAUAAAAAAUAGAGUUUAUUUGAUUUUAGUUCUAAAAUAUGCACAUAUCGCCCGUCGCUCUCGUUAAUUAAAAUGAG